rnacentral:rRNA from 1 species
UACGUAGGGGGCUAGCGUUGUCCGGAAUCAUUGGGCGUAAAGAGCGUGUAGGCGGUCCGGUAAGUCCGUUGUGAAAGUCAAGGGCUCAACCCUUGAAUGCCGGCGGAUACUGUCGGGCUAGAGUCCGGAAGAGGCAAGUGGAAUUCCUGGUGUAGCGGUGAAAUGCGCAGAUAUCAGGAGGAACACCGAUGGCGAAGGCAGGUCUCUGGGCCACUACUGACGCUGAGAAGCGAAAGCAUGGGGAGCGAACAGG